ACACACCAACACACACUAACACACCACACAUAUACACACAAUCAGAUCCCCCUCUCUCAUCACUGAUGCAUCUCUCUUUCUUCCUCACCACUGCCAACCGCUGGAGCUCCAAUGAACGAGCUCCGCAAACUACCACAACGCUUUUCUCUCCCCUCUUUCCCCUGUUUCCUAACAACCUACAAACCUUGAGUUUCUAGCCACCACCGCCACAAAAAUAGGAACAAACCACCACCCAACAACCCAUAAACCAUUGUUGUCCUCUCCUUUGAUCCCUUCGACCCCUGCUGCUCCAACCACCAACCGUUCGCUCUCUUUUUUCCUUUCCCCUCUCUCUGCUGCCUCACCAAAAUUAAUAGCUGGCGGGCCUCCAUCAUGUUACACGGCUACUUCUAGACGAAAAGGGUCAAAUUUGACCGAGAUUAAGUGUAUGAGGCGUCCUCCGACAUCCCUGUCAUGGAAGCAACACUCUCGUCUAUGUUGUUCUGAUUCGGUGUUUUGGUUUCAAUUGAUGAAAUGGAAGAUCUAUUUUUGUACUUCUUUAUUGAC
rnacentral:lncRNA from 1 species